rnacentral:rRNA from 1 species
AUUGAACGCUGGCGGCAGGCCUAACACAUGCAAGUCGAGCGAGCGGCGGACGGGUGAGUAAUGUCUGGAAACCGGCUGAUGGAGGGGGAUAACUACUGGCAACGGUAGCUAAUACCGCUUACCCUCAGAUGUUGCCAGGUGGGAUUAGCUAGUAGGUGGGGUAACGGCUCACCUAGGCGACGAUCCCUAGCUGGUCUGAGAGGAUGACCAGCCACACUGGAACUGAGACACGGUCCAGACUCCUACGGGAGGCAGCAGUGGGGAAUAUUGCACAAUGGGCGCAAGCCUGAUGCAGCCAUGCCGCGUGUGUGAAGAAGGCCUUCGGGUUGUAAAGCACUUUCAGCGGGGAGGCGUUACCCGCAGAAGAAGCACCGGCUAACUCCGUGCCAGCAGCCGCGGUAAUUC